rnacentral:rRNA from 1 species
GACGGAAGGUGCAAGCGUUGCUCGGAAUCACUGGGCGUAAAGCGUGCGUAGGUGGCGUGUUAAGUGUGAUGUUAAAUCGUGGGGGCUCAACCCUGUCGGUGCAUCACAUACUGGCAUGCUAGAGGACAGCAGAGGCAAGUGGAAUUUGUAAUGUAGCAGUGAAAUGCGUAGAUAUUACAAGGAACACCAAUGGCGAAGGCAGGUCUCUGGGCCACUACUGACGCUGAGAAGCGAAAGCAUGGGGAGCGAACAGG